rnacentral:snoRNA from 1 species
UAUUGCUAUGAUGGUUUUACCAUGCUAAUACUGAAAUAAAUUGUUGAAAUUUUUUUCUCUAAGACUGAGCAAUAA